AGAACGUCCCGGAGCGGUUUGGCGUCGCCUCCCGAAACCACCGCCGCGGGCCCCACCCCCUCAGGGGAAAGGCGGUGCCACGGGCGGGGAUGGAGUGUGCAGAUUGUAUGCUGCCAGCCAUCCUGGAGGAUUCAGGAUACUAUAAAGCAAGGCUGAUCCACUAGACUUGUGAAGCAGAUUCAUAGGAAGGUAACAAGUAUUCUGAUCUCAAUAUGAGCUGCUGGUAACUUUCUGCAAAUGUGCUGAAAUCCCUGUCCUUGCUGUUAGAAG